rnacentral:lncRNA from 1 species
CCGACAACUGUAGCAGCAUGUCAUCUGAUCCGACUUCAACUGAAGGCUCGCCGACUGAUGCGGAAGCAGUUUACCUCGUUUCGCACGGGCCACCAAAGAAAAUUGUGAAGUUCACAGGCGCCCGGAAGCUCGCCGACCUUCACGAAAGUGUGCGGAUGGGUGGGUUCGCGCACCUGAUGACAUGCAAUGAUCUCCUAAUACAGCAUGCUGGAAGCUGCACAGAGGAGUUGGCAAGGGGGCACAAGGAAGCAAUGCCCCGUUGCUGUCCGUAGGGUGAACGCAAGGCGGCUCGUGGCGGCCGCAAUUUCUACGCUGCGCUUUUCAUCUCUGAAGCCAUGCGCAGCAGCGUGCAGUCGUCAUGUUCAGCAAAGCAGUGCAAAGGUACCCGAAUAAGCUGUACAACAUUGCUGCAAGGUGCCUUGGUGAACCAGUACCCAGCCCUGAGGAACAGAUUGGACUCUGGCUAUAUGCAAAAGGCGUGAGCGCCAUCAUGGUUCUACCAUUUCUUGUCAAUGAGCGAGGGGACGACAUAUUCACAAAAAUGACGCCAGGACAGGAGUUUGCCCACCCCACAUUGCUGUACACUGGUGACAACCGCAUCUCUUCCAAGGCCCUGUGUGUGAAGUGUGGAUAUGUAUGUGUAGAUGUAUUGGACUUCACUUCCGGUGUAACGGGGUUAAUUUUAUUUUCCAUGUACUGGGGCUUUCAACAUCGAAUACAUCAGCUCUGCGGAGCAGACACUCUCAUAGCUGCAACACAUGAUUGAAAUGAAAACGAAAAUGACAAAACUAGGCGCCAAGUCCCAACAGCUUUAAUAGCAUGGUUAACUGCUACAACUAACAAAAUCACAGCCAGUACUGAGCAGGCUGAGAAAUCUGACUAAGCUGCUAAAGUCGUCUUGAAAUGUACCUUCCUGUAUGCACUUAGCCUUUUUUGUUUCUUUUUUUUUAACGCUCCGGCUAUUUUGGUGUUCGUAGCCUUGGAUUAUGCAGCUGAGUAGUACUGCCAAUAGCUAGUCAAACCUCGAAAACUUUAUUGUGUUUAAAUGUUAUUCAUAGUUUUUGUAUUAUGGGGCAUAAAGCAAACACUCACCAAUGAUAUUUUAAAAAAUAAUGAAAUUACAAGAAAUUGUAUUUCGGAGCCAGUAUGGGUCCUUUGUUCCCAAAUGACAGCAGAGGCAAUGGUUUGGUUCUGUACAGGUGAGAUGGCGGAGAGCGCAUGCAUAGAUGACAGGCAGAUUAUCGUGUGUCCUUCCUAUCGCUUAGCAUGUCAUCUGAAUAUGCAGUGAUUUUAGUAGUAAUUGCGUCGGUAAUAUCGCAGUGGAAAUUAUGGAUGCCUAGUGCUAGUGUAUAGAAGGCCCUGUUUUCUCUUGGUGUUCGGAUAAUGCGUCGGAAAUAAGGUUGCUUUUAAAGAGAUAGUGCUUAUCCUGCUUUGGGUGCUUCUUAACAUUGCCAGAUUGACAGUGAAUUACAUUUUUUGCAUGUGAAUAUGUACAUGGAGCCAAGUUAGUUCAAUCUUCCAAAGGGGUCCUUCAUGUACACCAGUUCAUCACAUAGCUUGCUGGAAGGGACAUGUGCCACCCAACCAUUGCAGUCAUUCAACACUCUGGCAAAAGUCUUGCUCAUGCCACAUGCAUACAGGAUGGUAGCACGCUUGCUUUUCUUGCUCACCACUUAGCGGAUGGGCGCUGAGGCACGAUGUUCUUGCUCACUUGGCAGUUUUAGCGGCUGGCCAUUACAUUGCGUGUCAUUUAGCAUCAAGAUCAACUCUGCUUUUUGCCUUGUAUGACUUGAGCAAAGACUGAAAAGCGAGGUUACUAGUGAUGAGGCGGCCAACCUUUGUGGCCCUUGUGGUGUACAGAAAGAACAUCUAGGUAUUUUGACAUGUGUGGGUUUGCGAUGAACCCUGGUGGCAAGGCCAUUGGUGAUUCGUUCCUUGAGAACAUCAAUGGAUGCAGUGUACCUCUUCUCUCAAGCUCUUCGUGUGCUGUAAACUGAUGCUUUCCUUACAAAGUUUAGUGCUUUUUGUGAUUGCUAUAUGUACUCUCGCUAAAGGUCACUGUGAUGUGCGCAUAUUUUAUUGAAUAAAAUUUGUACAUGUUUUAACUGCUGUGUUGUUCUUUCAGAUCUGAACCGAGGCAGAUCAAAAUUUGACGCAAACAUGGAGGCAGUGCUAAUGGAAACAUUUAGAGGUGAGACAGCAGUCUUUUUUUGACAAAUUGGAUGAUAGGAUGGCCAAGAAGUAGCACUUUUGAAACAUAAUGUGAUGUACUUACUAUGCAAGCUGCACAUGGAUUUUUAAGUGGCAUUAUUCGUCAUGCCCUGUUUUACAUUUAUCUGGUCUUUAGUCAUAUUUAUUUUCUUCUACUGGCAUCGAUGUUGUAUCAUUGCUUUGAUAUGGUGAAAUUUUAAAUUUGUCGUUAAUUAUCAAUAUUGAAAUUUAAUUAUUCUGCCCAUGUAUGCCUCCAUGGCAUAUUGAAAUAAACAA